rnacentral:pre_miRNA from 1 species
AGGCUGAUGGUUUCUGCACAGGGUGUAAUAAUAACGAACUCUGCAGGUUCACAUCAGCCCUAU